UACGUAGGGUGCAAGCGUUGUCCGGAAUUAUUGGGCGUAAAGAGCUCGUAGGCGGUCUGUCGCGUCGGCUGUGAAAUCUCGGGGCUCAACCCCGAGCCUGCAGUCGAUACGGGCAGACUAGAGUGCUGUAGGGGAGACUGGAAUUCCUGGUGUAGCGGUGAAAUGCGCAGAUAUCAGGAGGAACACCGGUGGCGAAGGCGGGUCUCUGGGCAGUAGCUGACGCUGAGGAGCGAAAGCGUGGGGAGCAAACAGG
rnacentral:rRNA from 1 species